AGUUGGCUAGUGUAGUAGACUGGUGUAAGAAAACUAAUUUACGCUUUGUCUUCAGUGGUGUUGGUUCAGAGAUCACAGACCUGAGUGAGGAGGGCUGUGCUUGGACGAUCCUCAUUAGGGAAGUGUCGUGGUAACAUGAACAAUUCUGUGUUGGCAGACUCUGGUCCAGUUCUGGAUAUAGUAAAUCACAGAUUGAAGCACUGUUCAGUACUUGAUGGAGGCAGUCACAGUCCUGGACACGUCAUCUGGAGGAGUCAGCAGAUUUGUCAGUUCACGUGAAGGAUGCCACUUAAAUCUGCAGCUGAACUGAAAUUUUAACCUUCUGUGGAAGAGGGUGAGACAAAGGACAGGGAAGUUCUGCUCUUGUUAGUUACAAACCAAGAAAGCUGUUCCAAAUCACACCAUAAAACAACAGUUUCUAAGUGGGAUGCAUGUGGAUGGAGUUGCUGGCCAGAUAUGAACUUUAUUUAAUACAAUACUUACAUUAGUAUUUUUGGUCAUGUAAAAUUGUGGCUGUACAUAGGAAGGCAGUAGGAAGAUUUCAAAGGAACGUUCCACCACCAUAAGGGAAGACAACCUCUUCUCUCCCUUCUACCCCCCACGCAAACCAGGGAAGUAGCUAUACUACCUUAGAUUUGCUGGCUGUAAGAUCUUGAGAAAUCAUACUAGCAAUGUUUUGGCGAAGCUGAAACACAAAUUAUCUGUUAAAUGGUUACAUUAGAAUGGAGGUUUUAGAGAUUGCUAAAUCACAGUAGGUAUUCUGAAAGUGACAGAAGUUGUUUUAUGUGCAACAAUAAUAGUCCUUAACCUUAGAAAUUUUUGGAAUUAUUAAACCCAGUUUUGUGACUGAGUGCUUUAUAAAAAUAGUAUAAUAUGUUAGAAUCUGAUAUCCCCCCCCC
rnacentral:lncRNA from 1 species